UGCAUCUCUAUCUUCUUCUACUUUCAACCUUUCAAUUACCCUUUUUAAGUUGUAUCUUUAUCGAAUUGCAGAUCUUAAUGAACUAUCUGUUGAUAAUCUACGGACAUGCUGAUACUUUCACCUGUGAAUCGUGUUUGUUCCUAUCUAAAUAUCAUUGCUGAGUCCAGCGGUUUCAAAUGAUGUUUCCGAUGGGUUGUUCUAGCGCAGUCAUGCACGACGUACACAAUGUGUCUAUACAAACAGGUUGUUGGAGAAAUUGGUCGUCAUCUAUUACGGUUGAUUGAAUCAUUAAGGGAAAACUAUUAUUGUGAUAUUUCCAAAGUUGUAUUGUUAUGGGUAAUGCUAGAUGAUAGUGGCUCAAUUUUUGUACAAUAUCUUGAUAUACUUUUUCUCUAGCUCUCCCUAAUAGUUUAAGUUUUAGU